UACGAAGGGGGCUAGCGUUGCUCGGAAUCACUGGGCGUAAAGGGUGCGUAGGCGGGUCUUUAAGUCAGAGGUGAAAUCCUGGAGCUCAACUCCAGAACCGCCUUUGAUACUGAGGAUCUUGAGUACGGGAGAGGUGAGUGGAACUGCGAGUGUAGAGGUGAAAUUCGUAGAUAUUCGCAAGAACACCAGUGGCGAAGGCGGCUCACUGGCCCGAUACUGACGCUGAGGUGCGAAAGCGUGGGGAGCAAACAGG
rnacentral:rRNA from 1 species